UACAGAGGUGGCAAGCGUUGUUCGGAAUUACUGGGCGUAAAGGGCGCGUAGGCGGCCUUCUAAGUCGGACGUGAAAUCCCUCGGCUUAACCGGGGAACUGCGUCUGAUACUGGAUGGCUUGAGUUCGGGAGAGGGAUGCGGAAUUCCAGGUGAGCGGUGAAAUGCGUAGAUAUCUGGAGGAACACCUGCGGCGAAGGCGGGUUGCUGGGCUGACACUGACGCUGAGGCGCGAAGCUGGGGAGCGAACGGG
rnacentral:rRNA from 1 species